rnacentral:rRNA from 1 species
UACGGGAGGCAGCAGUGGGGAAUAUUGGGCAAUGGGCGAAAGCCUGACCCAGCAACGCCGCGUGAAGUAUGAAGGCCUUCGGGUUGUAAACUUCUUUGAUCAGGGAAGAAACAAAUGACGGUACCUGAAAAACAAGCCACGGCUAACUACGUGCCAGCAGCCGCGGUAAU